GAUGGAUCUUAAAAAAUCCUCUAAACAC
rnacentral:tRNA from 1 species